ACUAUAUUUAUAUAGAGUAGAAACAUACUGGACAAUGUUGGAAAUAGUAGCAGUAGUUCUAUUGUUUAUUCUGACACUACACUUAAUUCAUUGUACUUAUCAGCAGUCUAGAUAUCUUGUUCACCGAAAUGUCAAGAUAAAAGACACAGACUUAUAUCAUACACAGAUUACUGUGUUGAAUUUCCUUGUGUGCACAGCGGAAUGUUCAAAAUCUGACCAAUGUGGCACAGCAUCGUAUGAAAUGACGUCACGAACGUGCUACGUGUCAGCGGAGAAUACAAUGCACGAACCGACACGCAUCAUAUUGUUCGAAUCGAAUGCAGAUUGGAAAACUUCAUCAAAGAUAAUGUUUCCUGUGAUAAAUUUGCAAGGUGCUGCUGGAGCAGACACCUUGUACUCGCUCGAACAGGGCACUGCGCGGUGUGCCAUGGAUGGCUUUUCUAUCGCAACCCCUGAUGAUCUGUUACAAGCCCGGCUAAUGGGGCUUCACUUUUGCUCGUGCGGAUGGCUCUCCGAUGGAAAUGCCGGCUUUGUGCUUCAGUAUGCGUGGCCUGACUGCAUAAGUUGGUUCACAGACCAAAUCAUUACUUGCAACUGGGGCUAUGGUAAUGUGUGGUGUAAGAUUUAACGAAGACAAUAAUACCGGAUUGACUUAUAGUGUCGAUUUCUGGAAACUUCUAUGUUGUGAGUCACGGCCCUUGGAAGUUUUCUACAUUUGGAUGCAAAUUCAUUAUAUAAAUUAUAUAACCGAUGGACAUGGUUUAGUUUCUUUCAUUUUUAUUGUCAACAAAACUUAUAAUCGUUUCGCUUCUUUUUGUAACACUUAUUAAAUUAUACUAAAGUAGAAAAAUCGAUUAAAAUCACAUAAUGUUCGAUAGUUAAACAAGUUAUCGAGUAUCUGAACAUGCCUCGUAUGUAGACAUAUUUUUUUAUGCAUUUUAAAUUGUACGUAUUGUUUUGAUUUUAAAUUGAGCAAAGUUGCGAGCUAUUGAAGUAAUCAAAUUGUCAACUUUCAAUCUUAUUUAUUUUAAGUAUAUUUUUCGAAAGAGGGAAUACAUUCAAGAGCACAAUUGUUGUUGUUGUUGUUUUUAUUGUUUUUACAUUAUAUGUCAUCACAAAUGUACUAUGUUGAAAUCAUAAACAUGUUCAGGAGACUUACUACGCAUGCCUUUUUCUAUUUUUAGUAAGGUUUGGUUUUGAUUUUACUAAGUAAUUUAAAAUAAAUGCUAUUGUUUUGUUUCGUGUGUGUUAAAUUUGGGAACUAUAAAGUGUCACGCACAGAUUUUAUGAACCGUCAGAAUAACUCAGAGUAAGGCAAAAUAUUAUUUUGAUUUAAUAGCUACCGGUCACUGCCAUCUACUCAUUCGACCAGAGUAAAUACCAACCGGUCAAUGCCAUCUACUUAUUCAAGCAGAAUAAAUACCAACCGGUCACUGCCAUCUACUCAUUCGACAAGAAUAAAUACCAACCGGUAUAUGCCAUCUACUUAUUCGAGCAGAAUAAAUACCAACCGGUCACUGCCAUCUACUCAUUCGACUAGAAUAAAUACCAACCGGUCACUGCCAUCUACUCAUUCGACCAGAAUAAAUACCAACCGGUCACUGCCAUCUACUCAUUCGACCAGAAUAAAUACCAACCGGUCACUGCCAUCUACUCAUUCGACCAGAAUAAAUACCAACCGGUCACUGCCAUCUACUCAUUCGAGCAGAAUAAAUACCAACCGGUCACUGCCAUCUACCCAUUCGACCAAAAUAAAUACCAACCGGUCACCGCCAUCUACUCAUUCGAAUAGAGUAAAUACCAACCGGGCACUGCCAUCAACUCGUUCGAGCAGAAUAAAUACCAACCGGUCACUGCCAUCUACCCAUUCGACCAAAAUAAAUACCAACCGGUCACCGCCAUCUACUCAUUCGAAUAGAGUAAAUACCAACCGGUCACUGCCAUCAACUCGUUCGACCAGAAUAAAUACCAACCGGUCACUGCCAUCUACUCGUUCGACCGGAAUAAAUACCAACCGGUCACUAUCUACUCAUUCGACCAGAAUAAAUAUCAUACACUGUUGGGCAGAAUGUUUGUAAAAUUUAAGCUUAAAACCAUUUGAAUUGAUACCAACCGGUUACAUUAAAGCUUAAAUCCUUUA